rnacentral:rRNA from 1 species
UACGUAGGGUCCAAGCGUUAUCCGGAAUCAUUGGGCGUAAAGCGCGCGUAGGUGGCCUCAUAAGUCCGCUGUGAAAGUCAAAGGCUCAACCUUUGAAAGCCGGUGGAUACUGUGGGGCUAGAGUACGGAAGAGGCGAGUGGAAUUCCUGGUGUAGCGGUGGAAUGCGCAGAUAUCAGGAGGAACACCAAUAGCGAAGGCAGCUCGCUGGGACGUUACUGACACUGAGGCGCGAAAGCGUGGGGAGCGAACAGG